CUAUUACGCUGCACAAAUUUCUUCAAUGAUGUAUAAUAACUAAGUAGUAGGCGUUAUCAUGAAGCCUUCGACCAUGAAAUUCAGAGUAAAAGUUAAAAUUUCUGAACGCAACGGCCACGUUCCCGCGAACAGAACUGUCAACUUCAUUGUGUUUAUUCAUGUAAGCCGACGACCAUUAGGGCAUAAUAAAAUAAAACGUUUUUAACUGAAAAUAACAGUUAACAUUUUAUAAGAAUAUGAAAAAAUAAAGAAAAUAGUGUUAACAGUGACGAAUUGCAAAAUUGGAGGGAAAAAACCACAAGAUCGGAGAAGAAAAUGCAACUUUCGCGUUCAAGGUCAAUUGCGGCGUCCUUUCGUCGAUAGCAUAGCUACACGGACGAGAUAAAUAUCGAGAUAAAAAUGUAGCAGGCCAUGGAUGUACCUACAUUAAUAGUGCCAGCGAACGAAUGUUUAAUGCAUACAUAACUAAAAUUCCGAAAAGGAACAUAAACGUCGGCAAGUGAAGAAUGAAGCGAGUUAAUUUUGACCUUGUUGGAAGGAGGCACCGCACCAGAAGGUUAAAUAUGGGAAUAAUCCUUCUAGGACAAUCUUGUUGUUUGCUUGCAGAUAUAUAAUUACGAACAUUACAAAACAACAAUGACCCGGACAAGAUUAUGAAAAAAUA